rnacentral:lncRNA from 1 species
CUGACAUUUACGUCCGUGUGCGUGGCGCUGUGUUUAGCCAGAGCAAGGAGUCUUGGUGGGAAAGACUAUAAGGACACACCUGACGCUUAAACCGAUUAGCAAAAAACUAAAACCGACCCUUACCUUAACCAAACCCUAAACCUAAGUUUAAUUAAUUCUGAACUGGUUUGGGCGUCAGGCGUGUCCUUCUAGACUUUUCCAGUGUGGGUAACCAGGCAAACCACCCAGCACUGGAUUGGUGCAGCUAUGAACAAAUUGGCGCCAUUUUGAAGCUGAGAGGAGGAUCACAGCCGUAGAGGGAAAGACGAUUGGCUACAAUUCAUCAAAUAAGUGUCCCAGGAUCGACAGUGCCGAGGUUGGACCACCGUGAGAACGAGGAUAUCACAGUCAUGAAGAGUCUGGCUGCACAGGACGACGACAGCAAGCCCUGCAGGUGACGCAAACGACGGACAGCCGCUUCCAGCCAGGACGACAAGGCAGGCCAGGAGGCCAAGCCCAAACGUGGGGGAGGAGCCGUGGGCCAAGGCCAAUGCCGCAGACACCACCCUGGAGACGAAAGACGAACAGAACAAUCCUCCCAAAAGAGGUCGCAGGAGACGGCCCCCAAGGUACCAUUUUGUUUUUUGACCCCGGUUGCCUUAUUUUAAUGGGGAAGUUCAGGAUUUUACAACUUAAUUUUUAGUGGCCCAUAGACAAAUACAGUGUGAGGAACCAUCAAUAUCAAGUUGUAAAAUCCUGAACUUACCGCUUAAUGGUUGCUAUCCAACUUAUCUUCAACACAGCUCACAUAAUUUAUCAGAUCUCACAAUACUCAGAGAAGUGUUUAUACAGACCAUCUUUAUAGCGCCACUGCUAUAAAGAUGGUCUGGAACGCAACCAAUGUUUACAACAAGACUGUGGGUCUUGUUGCGGUUGUUUGAUCUGUUCUUGUACUUAAUACUUUUACUCUAUAAAGUGUUCUUGGAAGUUAGUUGUAAUAAAAUGUAUUAUUAUGAUCAAUAUUGAGGCUGCUGUGCAUAAUAAUGACACACUUACCAAGGGCAUGAGGGGCCGGAAGAAGGCUGCUUGUCAAGCUGAGGAGGAAGAGGAGCAGGGGGAGGAGGAAGAUGGCAGCAGAUGGAGAUGUCUCAGAGCCAGGAAGAGGAUGAGAGCAAGACCACAACCAAAGUGCGACGGAAGAUGGGCAGGAGAAGAUGAGACAGAGAUCAUGUUUUUUUCUCCAAGGUCAGGGGGCCCGUGACCACGAGGACAAGAACAAGAACAGAUGGAGAGGAGCUGUACAUCGAUCACCUAGGCGAUUUGCAUUUUAUUGUGCCUCUGCAGAUGAUGAAAAAAAACGACAAGUGACAAAUCCAAGAUUAAAUCAAGUAUUUGGUCCAUUUUGCUGCCCAGCAUUGUUUUAUUAGUGUUUUGAGACGGAGAAAGGAGUAUUAAAUAGAUAAGAAUACAAUUAACUAAUUGCAAUUUCCUCAUACAUUUUUCCAGUCUGUUUAAUUAAUCAAAUAUUCUAUAGGAAAUAUGUGUUUCCUUUGUAUUCCUCCGUGGAAUUGGUCCUUCUGCAUAGUGGCUGCUUCGCAAACAACAGGUGUUGACGAACAGUGAAAUGCUUACUGAUGGGGCCUUUUCUAACAAUUCAUAGUUAAUGAAAAAAAUAAAAAAUAGUGACAUGAGGAAUAAAUACAUAGUGAAUAACGAGUAAAACUAAGAACAAUAACAAGAGAAAAUAACAUGGCUAUACCCUGGGGUACGAGGUAAUUGAAGUAUCUAUACAAAGAUAUAAACACAACAUGUAAAGUGCUGUUCCCGUGUUUCAUGAUCUGAAAUAAAGGAGUAUUUCUAACUAAUAAAGCCCUUUUGUGGGGAAAGAUUAAUUCUGAUUUGCUGGGCCUGGCUCCCCAGUAGGUGUGCCUGGCUCCCCAGUAGGUGGGCCUGGCUCCCCAGUAGGUGUGCCUGGCUCCCCAGUAGGUGGGCCUGGCUCCCCAGUAGGUGUGCCUGGCUCCCCAGUAGGUGUGCCUGGCUCCCCAGUAGGUGGGCCUGGCU